GGCUAUUAUGAAAAUAUUAAUAGUCUAGCCUGCUCAGUGAUAUAAAAUAUUAAAUAGCCGCGGUAUCUUGACCGUGCAAAGGUAGCAUAAUCAUUAGUUUUUUAAUUGAAAACUUGUAUGAAUGGUUGGACAAAGAAGAAUCUGUCUCUUYUAUUAAUAUUGAACUUAACCUUUAAGUGAAAAGGCUUAGAUUUUCUAGAGGGACGAUAAGACCCUAUAAAGCUUUAUAAGUUUAUAAAAAUUUAUAUAUUUUUGCUUAAAAAUAAUUUUUUAAAUGCUUAUUUGGUUGGGGCGACAAAAGUAUAAAGAGUAACUGCUAUAAUUUAAUACAUAUAUUGUUGAUUAACUAUAUUAAUAGAUCCUUUAUAAGGAUUUUAAGAUCAAGUUACUUUAGGGAUAACAGCGUUAUUUUUCCUGAGAGUUCUUAUCAAAGGAGAAGUUUGCGACCUCGAUGUUGAAUUAAAAUGUCUUUAUAGUGCAGCAGCUAUAAAAGAAGGU
rnacentral:rRNA from 1 species